rnacentral:lncRNA from 1 species
AUGUACAUAUUUUUAAAGCUUAUUAAUCGAACAACCUAAAAUCACGUUGGUUUCUCUCCCUCAAAUCUCAGAUCCAUUUUCAAAAUUCAAACCUAAAAGCACGUCCUCUUUCUUCCCCUAAAAUCUAUCCAUUUUCAAAAUUCAAACCCUACUCUCCCAAAUCUCUCUCCCUCUCAGAUCUUCGCCAAAACCCAGGGUCUUCAACAUCAAAAGGCCUUUUUCUUCUACGUUAAUCUCAAAAAGAGAUAUAUGCAAGAACAUGAUGAAGUGGAUCUUUCAACCCUUGGAAUGGCUUUCAUAUUUUGAGCGGGAUGAAAACAGUGGACUAAAUUUGGCUCCGCGUGUGCAAUAAACUGGUUUAUUUCUUAUGAUUUAUAUAUGGAAUACUAAAACUGUCUACUUUACUACUGGUCUAGGGUUGAUUUUUCUUCUGCUUCAAUAUAUGGAGCUUUAAAACGUGUCAACAUGUUUCCAUCGUUGCUUGUAUAGCCUAACCCACAAAGAUAAGGAACGUAGUGGUUCGGUUGUGUAACGCCUCGUACUUCCGUGUUUCCAUGUCUUUAGAAAUGCGAGUUGACAGUCAAGAUGUUGAAGAAUCAAGUUAGGAUGGUCUAGAUACCCAUUUUAAUAAUAAACCAUGUUUGUUGCAAUUUGUCU